rnacentral:rRNA from 1 species
GGCAGGCUUAACACAUGCAAGUCGAGCGGUAACAGGAGAAGCUUGCUUCUCGCUGACGAGCGGCGGACGGGUGAGUAAUACUUAGGAAUCUGCCCAGUAGUGGGGGAUAGCUCGGGGAAACUCGAAUUAAUACCGCAUACACCCUACGGGGAAAAGGGGGCGCUUGCGCUCUCGCUAUUGGAUGAGCCUAAGUCGGAUUAGCUAGUUGGUGGGGUAAAGGCCUACCAAGGCGACGAUCUGUAGCUGGUCUGAGAGGAUGAUCAGCCACACCGGGACUGAGACACGGCCCGGACUCCUACGGGAGGCAGCAGUGGGGAAUAUUGGACAAUGGGGGCAACCCUGAUCCAGCCAUGCCGCGUGUGUGAAGAAGGCCUUUUGGUUGUAAAGCACUUUAAGCAGUGAAGAAGACCUAACGGUUAAUACCCGUUAGCGAUGACAUUAGCUGCAGAAUAAGCACCGGCUAACUCUGUGCCAGCAGCCGCGGUAAUACAGAGGGUGCAAGCGUUAAUCGGAAUUACUGGGCGUAAAGCGAGCGUAGGUGGCUUGAUAAGUCAGAUGUGAAAUCCCCGGGCUUAACCUGGGAACUGCAUCUGAUACUGUCAGGCUAGAGUAGGUGAGAGGGAGGUAGAAUUUCAGGUGUAGCGGUGAAAUGCGUAGAGAUCUGAAGGAAUACCGAUGGCGAAGGCAGCCUCCUGGCAUCAUACUGACACUGAGGUUCGAAAGCGUGGGUAGCAAACAGGAUUAGAUACCCUGGUAGUCCACGCCGUAAACGAUGUCUACUAGUCGUUGGGGAACUUGAUUCCUUAGUGACGCAGCUAACGCAAUAAGUAGACCGCCUGGGGAGUACGGCCGCAAGGUUAAAACUCAAAUGAAUUGACGGGGGCCCGCACAAGCGGUGGAGCAUGUGGUUUAAUUCGAUGCAACGCGAAGAACCUUACCUGGUCUUGACAUAUCUAGAAUCCUGCAGAGAUGCGGGAGUGCCUUCGGGAAUUAGAAUACAGGUGCUGCAUGGCUGUCGUCAGCUCGUGUCGUGAGAUGUUGGGUUAAGUCCCGCAACGAGCGCAACCCUUUUCCUUAGUUACCAGCGGUUUGGCCGGGGACUCUAAGGAUACUGCCAGUGACAAACUGGAGGAAGGCGGGGACGACGUCAAGUCAUCAUGGCCCUUACGACCAGGGCUACACACGUGCUACAAUGGUAGGUACAGAGGGCAGCUACACAGCGAUGUGAUGCGAAUCUCAAAAAGCCUAUCGUAGUCCAGAUUGGAGUCUGCAACUCGACUCCAUGAAGUAGGAAUCGCUAGUAAUCGCGGAUCAGAAUGCCGCGGUGAAUACGUUCCCGGGCCUUGUACACACCGCCCGUCACACCAUGGGAGUUGAUUGCACCAGAAGUGGGUAGCCUAACUUUUAGAGGGCGCUCACCACGGUGUGGUUGAU